UACGUAGGGGGCUAGCGUUAUCCGGAAUUACUGGGCGUAAAGGGUGCGUAGGUGGUUUCUUAAGUCAGAGGUGAAAGGCUACGGCUCAACCGUAGUAAGCCUUUGAAACUGGGAAACUUGAAUGCAGGAGAGGAGAGUGGAAUUCCUAGUGUAGCGGUGAAAUGCGUAGAUAUUAGGAGGAACACCGGCGGCAAAGGCGGCUUGCUGGACGGCAACUGACGUUGAGGCUCGAAAGCGUGGGGAGCAAACAGGAUUAGAUACCCCCGUAGUCCCUGAGCGGGCUGG
rnacentral:rRNA from 1 species